CAGCCAUGGCGGAACCACCUCUCAGACGUACCAGAACCACCUGCCGGAGAAGCUGGAAACAUGUCCUGGACAGUCUGGAACCACCUGCCGGCCAAGCCUGAACCACCUGCCAAGCACAACGGAACAACCUGCCAGACACGCCAAAAUCACCUGAGUGUUAUGCCAGAACCACUUGGAGGACUCUCUGGGAUGACCUGCCGGGCAUGCCGGAACCACCUCUCAGACGUGCCAGAACCAUGUGGCGGACAGUCCGGAAUCACCUGUUGGACAUGCGCAACCACCUCUGAGACGUACCAGAACCACAUGCCGUGCAGGCUGGAACCACCUACCGGACAGACCGGAAUCACCUUUCGGGCAUGCCGGAACCACCUGUCAGAUGUGCCAGAAACACGUGCCGGAGACGCCGGAAGCACCUGCCAAGCACGUUGGAACCACCUGCUCAACUCGCCUGAACCACCUGCCAGUCAUGCCAAAAUCACCUGCCAACUACGCCAGAACCGCUUGGCGGAAACUGCGGAAACACCUGUCGGGCCGGCUGGAACCACAUCUCAGACGCGCCAGAAACGUGUUCAUGAGAUGCUGGAACCACACCCUGAACAGACGGAUACCACCUGCCAGAACCGCCUGAACCACCUGCUGAGCACGCCGGAACCACCUGCUCGACUCACCGGUACCACCUCCCUGGCACGCCAAAAUAACCUGCUGGGUAUGCCAGAACCACUUGGCGGACACUCCGGAAUCAUCUGCCGGACAUGCCGGAACCAGCUCUCAGACACACCAGAACCACGUGCCGGAGACGCCGGAAGCACCUGCCGAGCAUGCCGGAGCCACCUGCUCGACUCGCCAGAAACACCUGCCGGACACGCCAAAAUCACCUGCCGGGUACGCCAGAACCACCUGGCGGACACUACGGAAUCACCUGCCGCGCAUGCCGGAACCACCUCUCAGACGUGCCGGAAGCACGUGCCGGACACGCCGGAAACACCUACCGGACAGACCGGAACCACCUGCCAAGAACGCCGGAGCCACCUGUUCGACUCGCUGGAACCACCUGCCGGACAGGCCAAUAUCAACUGCUGGCUAUGCCAGAACCACCUGGGGGACAGUCCGGGAUCACCUGCCAGCCAUGGCGGAACCACCUCUCAGACGUACCAGAACCACCUGCCGGAGAAGCUGGAAACACGUCCUGGACAGACUGGAACCACGUGACGGCCAUGCCUGAACCACCAACCGAGCACGGCGGAACCACCUGCCGGACACGCCAAAAUCACCUGCGGGCUACGCCAGAACCACUUGGACGACUCUCCGAAAUGAC
rnacentral:lncRNA from 1 species